ACCAGUACGCUGUACCGUUCGAUUUUCUUGGCGAAAUCGUCCGUCCGCAUGCUGCGCAUACCAGUCGCGAUAAACGCGCCGGUGAAACGCGAUUCCGCUCGAACGUUCCCCGCGCAUUAAUGGUACGUCGCGUUAAGAGCUUCGAGAAGAAGAAAAAAGGAUCUUUCUAUCCCCUCUUACGAUCAAUUGCAUAACAACGAUUGCCAUAAAAUAUUUGACAUGUAAUUGUGUUAUAAAAAGAAUUAUUCCGGAAGAAGGAGAGAGAAUUUACCUCGAGGAAAAUAGAGUAAGAAAACUUGUAUCUACAUAUUGUACGUGAUAUGUAAAACAUGUUGGAAUUUCAUUGUCACCGUAACAAAAUGCGUGGUGAUGUUGUGAUUAUAUUCGUAAAAUUUGAACCCAAUCUGAAAUUCUAAAAUUCACCAUUUCGUAUCUAUGACAUCUUCUUACUGCAAAUAAAUUUAUGCGAAUAAUUUGUUUCUUAGAAACUGAGCAUAGAUUGAAAUUUUCAAAUUAACAAAAAAUAAAGUUAUAGGAUGGGCGGGCUCCUAAGCGACCGAAA